GAGCAUUUAUAUUUUAACUGCAUGGCACGAGAGGCACGUUCGCACUUCAUCACCACGUUGAAGGAGGCUGUUCGGCCUGUCGGAUCUACGCCUACUUUCAGAAUUGAUGACCUUUAUCAGAAAGUGCCAAUUCUGAUGCAGGCUGGAAAGUCUGGUCAUCUGAAAUUGUUCUGGCCACCACAGCGCUUUGCCAGCAGGAGUCACAAGCAACAUCAAGAAGGCUCCAUCUUUGUACAGUCCGAAGGCUAUAACAUGCUAUUUUGAUCUAGGAAUAAUGGUGCACAAUUCCCUGAAGGUGGAAUCUCAUGUGGAUAGGGUGGUGAAGAAAGCUUUUGCCAUUGAACAUAGUUUCUUCAUCCUGCCAUGUGCCUCUUUCACGUCAGCCUUACCCACAAUGAGGAAUGUGCCUUUAGGUGCCAAAUGUCUUUUUUGAUUAUUGCUGGUAGCAGCUGAACUAGACAGAAACAUCUGCAAUGGGACCUGCACAGACGGGGAAUGGAAAUUAAAUGGAUCAGAAAGAACACGUCAUCAGAAAAUUUGUGGUCUACUACAAGGCUGUCUUUAUCUUUAUUGAUUACUAAUUUAAUUAGUUUGGCACAACGUCGUGGCCCUGUUCCUGUGCAGUACUUUGCUACGUUCCAUGCUCUAUGUGUUCACUCUUUUCUAUAAGUGUAUACCUCAGAUAAAUACUUUGUGGAGAUUUGUGAUAUAUAUGAUUAUAUGAUAUAUAUGUACAAUGUCUGAAAUACAUCUUAUGGAAAUGUUUGUUUGAUGAACUUCAAUAAAAAAAAUUACAAAAGGAAGAGCUAUAUGAUUUGUCA